UUUCCACCCUCAGAAUCACAAGGAUGCUGCCGCCCUUUGUUCCCCACCCACAAAAUCCCUAGCUUUCCUGUUGUUCCCCACGCACGCCGCCGCCCCACGCCGGCCAAUCCCCAUGCCUCCCACCGCCGCCCCAUGUCGUCGGGGGCUACCGCCGGUCUAUCCCACUAUCGCCCCAUGCCGCCCUGCCUCUGCAUCACCAUCCCACGCCGCCCUUCCUCUGUAGCACCGCCCCACACGAUGCCCCGUCCCCACAGCCCCGCCCAAUUCCGACAUGCCUCUCCACCGUCGGCUCCACACCCUCGGGCUCUCUCUCCGUUUAACCGCCUCUCUCCAACCUCCCUGGCCCAACCCCCCAUCUCCAUCGUCCAGCUCAUGAAGACACACGCAGUGGCGGUGGCGGCGAAGAUUUGGAUCUGGGCCGCGUGUGGCUGGGCAAGGACAUCCCUCUCUGUCUUUGGCUGGGCAAGGGCAUCGAUGCGGCUGAGGUAGAACAGAGGACAGAUGCUGGUAACGCUGAGCUGACAAAGAGAAGUAGCAGAAUAUUUGCUAUGCCACUGUAGUGCAUAAGGCAGCGUGCUGAUGUUGCUUCAUUACUUCUCCAUAGAGCAUGGGGAGCUUUUAUCGUUCUUGGAUUUCAUAAAAUAGAAGAGAUGACAGAAAUGGGGUGGGAGGUAUGUGGAAACAGAGCUUCUUACUUGUGGUAGUAGACGACUAGGCAGUUCAUGCAGGUCAGCCCUCAACACCUGACUCCCUUGAUCGGUGUCUUCCUCUUCUCCACUCAUCUAUAGAAGUGAGCCCAACAAAUACUAUUUUUGGCUGAGGCUAGAAUCUUGCACCGGAGCAUAAAACGUUUAGUUGUUAAACAUGUUUCUGUAACAAGUGAGCUAUCCAUCCUGACCAUGUAGGAGUAACACAUUAACUGAUGGGUGGUGCUUUCAGGCUCUGGAAACAUUACUUGAUGUCUCUGUACUCUGGUAUGGGAUGGUGCACUUUUAAUGAUGAAAAGAAUGGCACGCACUCCAAAUAUAUUCCUAGAAAGUGGAUUAACUGAAGAAGAAUCUACUACAGAAGUAAGAUCUGGUUACAAUCAAUCUGAAAGGCAAAAUGAAUUCUGUGUGUGGGGAACAACAUAGCAGGUGAAUCUUAUCUGAACAGGGACGUCUUCCUCAUCCCGCCACUUAGGAAAGACAUAAAAGACCAGGAAGGAACUAUGGAGAUAGUUUGCGUCAACUAGAUAGUUUGUGUAAGGUGCAAAAUAAUGCACCGUUUGGCUAUCAUUUUGUAAGCCUUUAUGUUGUAUUGUCAACUGGAUAUUUUGUACAAAAUCAAUGACAUGCAUCUAUUAUUGUAUCUUGAUUGAUAUUUUGUUGGAUGUUAUUGUAAUGAGAUAUUUUAUGUGACUUUAUU